UACGUAGGGGGCUAGCGUUGUCCGGAAUCAUUGGGCGUAAAGCGCGUGUAGGCGGUCCGGUAAGUCCGCUGUGAAAGUCGGGGGCUCAACCCUCGGAUGCCGGUGGAUACUGGCGAGCUUGAGUGCAGGAGAGGAACGCGGAAUUCCAGGUGUAGCGGUGAAAUGCGUAGAUAUCUGGAGGAACACCGGUGGCGAAGGCGGCGUUCUGGACUGCAACUGACACUGAGGAACGAAAGCCAGGGGAGCAAACGGG
rnacentral:rRNA from 1 species